rnacentral:tRNA from 13 species
UGAUUCAUAGUGUAAUUGGUCAGCACACAAGACUUUGACUCUUGUUGUUCAGGUUCGAGUCCUGAUGAAUCAACAA